AGAGUUUGAUCAUGGGCUCAGAUUGAACGCUGGCGGCAUGCCUAACACAUGCAAGUCGAACGGUAACAGGCCGCUGGGAUCCCUUCGGGGUGACCUUGGCGCUGACGAGUGGCGGACGGGUGAGUAAUGCUUGGGAAUCUGCCCAGUAGUGGGGGACAACACGAGGAAACUCGUGCUAAUACCGCAUACGUCCUACGGGAGAAAGUGGGGGAUCUUCGGACCUCACGCUAUUGGAUGAGCCCAAGUCGGAUUAGCUUGUUGGUGGGGUAAAGGCCUACCAAGGCGACGAUCCGUAGCUGGUCUGAGAGGACGAUCAGCCACACUGGGACUGAGACACGGCCCAGACUCCUACGGGAGGCAGCAGUGGGGAAUAUUGGACAAUGGGCGCAAGCCUGAUCCAGCAAUGCCGCGUGUGUGAAGAAGGCCUGCGGGUUGUAAAGCACUUUCAGUAGGGAAGAAAUGCCUGGGGUUAAUAGCUCCGGGUCUUGACGUCACCUACAGAAGAAGCACCGGCUAACUCCGUGCCAGCAGCCGUGGUAAUACGGUGGGUGCGAGCGUUUAAUCCGGAAUUUACUGGGCGUAAAGCGCGCGUA
rnacentral:rRNA from 1 species